UUGGAGGGCAAGUCUGGUGCCAGCAGCCGCGGUAAUUCCAGCUCCAAUAGCGUAUAUUAAAGUUGUUGCAGUUAAAAAGCUCGUAGUUGAAUUUCGGGAUCAAUUUAUCGGUCGUGCCAAUGGUAUGAACUGGUACAAUUGGUUUCUCCCUUCUGAAGAACCAUGAUGUCAUUAAUUUGGUGUUGUGGGGAAUCAGGACUGUUACUUUGAAAAAAUUAGAGUGUUUAAAGCAGGCUUAGGCUUGAAUACAUUAGCAUGGAAUAAUGAAAUAGGACGCUUUGAUCCUAUUUCGUUGGUUUCUAGGAUCGACGUAAUGAUUAAUAGGGAUAGUUGGGGGCAUUAGUAUUCAAUUGUCAGAGGUGAAAUUCUUGGAUUUAUUGAAGACUAACUACUGCGAAAGCAUUUGCCAAGGAUGUUUUCAUUAAUCAAGAACGAAAGUUAGGGGAUCGAAGACGAUCAGAUACCGUCGUAGUCUUAACCAUAAACUAUGCCGACUAGGGAUCGGAUGAUGUUAAUUUUUUAAUGACUCAUUCGGCGCCUUACGGGAAAC
rnacentral:rRNA from 1 species